CCCUCUGGAGGUGGUAGCAGUCAACCAAACAGGACAGUUGUAUGACUGUGCACCUGCCACUGGCAUAUGCCAACCCGUCGUACUGCCCCUUCCCCUAGAGGCUGUGAACAUGUCCCUGGGCCUGUCUCUGGUGGCUGCUACCAAUCACUCCCAGUUGCUGGCCUGCGGUCCAACUGUGCAGAGAGCUUGUGAGAAGAACAUGUAUGCAAAGGGUUCCUGCCUCCUUCUUGGCUCAAGUUUGCAGUUCAUCCAGGCAGUCCCUGCUACCCUGCC